rnacentral:tRNA from 1 species
UGGUUGGGGAUGUUCAGUGGUAGAGUGUGUGUUUGGCAUAUACAAGGUCCUGGGUUCAAUCUUCAGCCAUGCAA